AGGCUGAGGCUGUGCUGGUUGU
rnacentral:miRNA from 1 species